GAUGAACGCUAGCGGCAGGCCUAAUACAUGCAAGUCGAACGGUAACAUGAGAGCUUGCUCUUGAUGACGAGUGGCGCACGGGUGCGUAACGCGUAUGCAACCUACCUACAACAGGGAGAUAGCCCGGAGAAAUUCGGAUUAAUACCCCAUAGUAUUAUUUGAUGGCAUCUGAGAAUAAUUAAAGAUUUAUCGGUUGUAGAUGGGCAUGCGUAAGAUUAGCUAGAUGGUGAGGUAAUGGCUCACCAUGGCGAUGAUCUUUAGGGGGUCUGAGAGGAUGAUCCCCCACACUGGUACUGAGAUACGGACCAGACUCCUACGGGAGGCAGCAGUAGGGAAUAUUGGUCAAUGGAGGCAACUCUGAACCAGCCAUGCCGCGUGAAGGAAGAAGGCGUUCUGCGUUGUAAACUUCUUUUAUACAGGAAGAAUAUUCCCUUGCGAGGGAUAGUGACGGUACUGUAUGAAUAAGCACCGCUAACU
rnacentral:rRNA from 1 species